rnacentral:rRNA from 1 species
CCUACGGGAGGCAGCAGUGAGGAAUAUUGGUCAAUGGACGAGAGUCUGAACCAGCCAAGUAGCGUGAAGGAUGACUGCCCUAUGGGUUGUAAACUUCUUUUAUAUAGGAAUAAAACGAGGCACGUGUGCCUUUUUGUAUGUACUUUAUGAAUAAGGAUCGACUAACUCCGUGCCAGCAGCCGCGGUAAUACGGAGGAUCCGAGCGUUAUCCGGAUUUAUUGGGUUUAAAGGGAGCGUAGGUGGGUUGUUAAGUCAGUUGUGAAAGUUUGCGGCUCAACCGUAAAAUUGCAGUUGAAACUGGCAGUCUUGAGUACAGUAGAGGUAGGCGGAAUUCGUGGUGUAGCGGUGAAAUGCUUAGAUAUCACGAAGAACCCCGAUUGCGAAGGCAGCUUACUAGACUGUAACUGACAUUGAUGCUCGAAAGUGUGGGUAUCAAACAGGAUUAGAUACCCGAGUAGUC